rnacentral:rRNA from 1 species
GUGGACGCCAGUCUGCAUGGAGCCGACCUUGAAAUACCACCCUUUAAUGUUUGAUGUUCUAACGUGGACCCGUAAUCCGGGUUGCGGACAGUGUCUGGUGGGUAGUUUGACUGGGGCGGUCUCCUCCUAAAGAGUAACGGAGGAGCACGAAGGUUGGCUAAUCCUGGUCGGACAUCAGGAGGUUAGUGCAAUGGCAUAAGCCAGCUUGACUGCGAGCGUGACGGCGCGAGCAGGUGCGAAAGCAGGUCAUAGUGAUCCGGUGGUUCUGAAUGGAAGGGCCAUCGCUCAACGGAUAAAAGGUACUCCGGGGAUAACAGGCUGAUACCGCCCAAGAGUUCAUAUCGACGGCGGUGUUUGGCACCUCGAUGUCGGCUCAUCACAUCCUGGGGCUGAAGUAGAUCCCAAGGGUAUGGCUGUUCGCCAUUUAAAGUGGUACGCGAGCUGGGUUUAGAACGUCGUGAGACAGUUCGGUCCCUAUCUGCCGUGGGCGCUGGAGAACUGAGGGGGGCUGCUCCUAGUACGAGAGGACCGGAGUGGACGCAUCACUGGUGUUCGGGUUGUCAUGCCAAUGGCACUGCCCGGUAGCUAAAUGCGGAAGAGAUAAGUGCUGAAAGCAUCUAAGCACGAAACUUGCCCCGAGAUGAGUUCUCCCUGAGACUUUAAGUCUCCUGAAGGAACGUUGAAGACGACGACGUUGAUAGGCCGGGUGUGUAAGCGCAGCGAUGCGUUGAGCUAACCGGUACUAAUGAACCGUGAGGCUUAACCUUACAACGCCGAAG